ACUUAAUUAGUAUAAAAAGUAUUUUAGACUUCCAAUCUAAAGGUCUAUUUUUAGAUUAAGUA
rnacentral:tRNA from 1 species